AGCUCUCUGCUAAAGGUUACUGAAGUAUAGAGGGUGAAUUCUGCCCAAUGGUUGUACAGUGAAACUUAGGACUAACGUCUAAAGCGAAACCCAACUGAAUGGCCGCGGUAACUCUGACCGUGAUAAUGUAGCACAAUAAAUAGCCAAUUAAUUGUUGGCGGGUAUGAAUGGAACCACGAGGGUCUUACUGUCUCAAGAGGAAAGCCGAUGAAAUUAUAGUUGUAGUGAAGAUACUACAUAAACAUUGUAAGACGAAAAGACCCUAUCGAGCUUUACUGGAUACCGAUAGCGUUAACCUAAAAUGAUCGAUACCAAGUAUCCUAAUUUUGAGUUAAUAAUUUUUGUUGGUAGGACAGUUUAGUUGGGGCGACUACCUUUGAAUAAGAAACGAAGGCGAGCUUAUGGUAUACAAAGCUAAUCUCAUUAGCCUGACAGUGAGGGGGACACCCCUAGCUGGCACAAGGACUACGUCCUAUGUGGGCGAUAAUGACCCGAUAUGAUAGUCCAAAAUAAAUAUCGAAAGCGGAUAAAAGCUACCGUAGGGAUAACAGCGUAAUAUUGUCGGAGAGUUCUUAUCGAGGACAGUGUUUGCGACCUCGAUGUUGAAUUGCGGUGCCCUGGUGCUGUAGAAGGUACCUUAGGUUGGUCUGUUCGACCAUGAAAACCGU
rnacentral:rRNA from 5 species